rnacentral:rRNA from 1 species
AUGAAGCUACUGUUUGAGAUGAGCCCGCGUACCAUUAGCUUGUUGGUGGGGUAAUGGCCUACCAAGGCACGAUGGUUAGCUGGUCUGAGAGGAUGAUCAGCCACACUGGAACUGACACACGGUCCAG